rnacentral:rRNA from 1 species
GACGAACGCUGGCGGCGUGCUUAACACAUGCAAGUCGAACGGGAACCUUUAUUUCGGUAAAGGUGAGAGUGGCAAACGGGUGAGUAACACGUAGCAACCUGCCGACAGGAUGGGGACAACAUUCCGAAAGGAAUGCUAAUACCGAAUGGAGUCCGGAGAUGGCAUCAUCUCUGGAUAAAAGAUGGCCUCUGAAUAUGCUAUCGCCUGUCGAUGGGCCUGCGUCUGAUUAGCCAGUUGGCGGGGUAACGGCCCACCAAAGCGACGAUCAGUAGCCGGUCUGAGAGGAUGAACGGCCACAUUGGGACUGAGACACGGCCCAGACUCCUACGGGAGGCAGCAGUGGGGAAUCUUCCACAAUGGGCGAAAGCCUGAUGGAGCAACGCCGCGUGAGUGAAGAAGAUCUUCGGAUCGUAAAGCUCUGUUGCACGGGACGAAAACUGGGUUUGAAAACAUUGAACCUGGGUGACGGUACCGAGCGAG